UGAGGAAUUUUCGUCAAUGGGGGAAACCCUGAACGAGCAACGCCGCGUGCAGGAAGAAGGUCUUCGGAUCGUAAACUGCUUUUCUCUGGGACGAGUAAGGACGGUACCAGAGGAAUCAGCCUCGGCUAACUACGUGCCAGCAGCCGCGGUAAUACGUAGGAGGCGAGCGUUGUCCGGAGUUACUGGGCGUAAAGCGCACGCAGGCGGUCAGCUACAUCUGUAGGGACAGGGCACAGCUUAACUGUGUCAGGCUUAUGGAAAUGGGCAGACUUGAGGGCUUCAGAGGGAUGGGGAAUUCCGGGUGGAGUGGUGAAAUGCGUAGAGAUCCGGAAGAACACCAAAGGCGAAGGCACCAUCCUGGGAAGCACCUGACGCUCGGGUGCGAAAGCUAGGGGAGCGAACGGGAUUAGAUACCCCCGUAGUCC
rnacentral:rRNA from 1 species